rnacentral:rRNA from 1 species
ACGAACGCUGGCGGCGUGCUUAACACAUGCAAGUCGAGCGGGGAGGCUUUCGGCACCGGCUGCUGAGGCUCAAGGGUCACAGGAGCAGGUGCUGGAAGGACUUCCAGCGGCGGACGGGUGAGUAACGCGUGAACAAUCUGUCCCAGACAGGGGGAUAACAGAUGGAAACAUCUGCUAAUACCGCAUAAGGCCACGGAGCCGCAUGGCACUGAGGUAAAAGGAGCAAUCCGGUUUGGGGUGAGUUCGCGUCUGAUUAGCUAGUUGGUGAGGUAACGGCCCACCAAGGCGACGAUCAGUAGCCGACCUGAGAGGGUGAUCGGCCACACUGGAACUGAGACACGGUCCAGACUCCUACGGGAGGCAGCAGUGGGGAAUAUUGGGCAAUGGGCGAAAGCCUGACCCAGCAACGCCGCGUGAAGGAAGAAGGUUUUCGGAUUGUAAACUUCUGUCCUCAGGGAAGAAGGAAGUGACGGUACCUGAGGAGGAAGCCCCGGCUAACUACGUG